rnacentral:rRNA from 1 species
GACGAACGCUGGCGGCGUGCUUAACACAUGCAAGUCGAACGGUGACCCAUCUUCGGAUGGUGAUCAGUGGCGAACGGGUGAGUAACACGUGGGCAACCUGCCCCUAGCUCUGGGAUAACUCCUCGAAAGAGGUGCUAAUACCGGAUAUCACCUCCCAGGACAUCCUGGGUGGUUGAAAGUUUUUCGGCUAGGGAUGGGCCCGCGGCCUAUCAGCUUGUUGGUGGGGUAAUGGCCUACCAAGGCGACGACGGGUAGCCGGCCUGAGAGGGCGACCGGCCACACUGGGACUGAGACACGGCCCAGACUCCUACGGGAGGCAG